CCUACGGGAGGCUGCAGUGGGGGAUAUUGCACAAUGGGGGAAACCCUGAUGCAGCAACGCCGCGUGAGUGAAGAAGUAUUUCGGUAUGUAAAGCUCCAUUAGCAGGGAAGAGAAUGACGGUACCUGACUAAGUAGCCCCGGCUAACUCCGUGCCAGCAGCCGCGGUUAUACGUCGGGGGCGAGCGUUAUCCGGAUUUACUGGGUGUAAAGGGAGCGUAGACGGCUGGUCAAGUCUGAAGUGAUAGCCCGGGGCUUAACCCCGGAACGGCUUUGGAAACUGAGCAGCUAGAGUGCUGGCGAGGUAAGCGGAAUGCGUAGUGUAGCGGUGAAAUGCGUAGAUAUUAGGAGGAACACCAGUGGCGAAGGCGGCUUACUGGACAGUAACUGACGUUGAGGCUCGAAAGCGUGGGGAGCAAACAGGAUUAGAUACCCGAGUAGUC
rnacentral:rRNA from 1 species